AUUUUCCUUCUGCCUUUUGAAGUCGAGCCGUUGCCAUCUCCCUUCCACCAUUUCAGACCCAUUUCCGACCGGCCACAACGACGACGACGGCGCCUCUACGGUGGAACGCGCUGAAGCGCGGGGCAACGUGCGUAACGUGCGGGGCGACGUGCGCGACGUGCAGGGGGCUACUGCGUGUGAGGUGACGUGGCGAUGGUGGUUCUGGGGCUGUCUGCUACUUAAGGGGUUUUUUUAGUGCUUUGGGCUAGUGGGUUACGGUUUGUAAUGGGCUUUAGGUUUAGUUGGGCCCAGGCCAAAAAUUGGGUAUUACAAUUGUACUUUUAAAUAUUUUAAUAAAAUAUUCAGGUGAUAUUUUUAAAUUAA